CAUCGUAAGGUGGAAUCUGAAGGAAGCUGGAUGUUGGAAACCUACUAACCUAUGGGCAAACCUCUGGCCUAAUGGGCAAAAACCGCAUAGAAGGCUGCACAUAAGGGUAAGUCUGCCAGUCAAGAUAAAAUUCGAUAGCUACACGGGAUCAUGUUCAGUAAAUGCGGCAGAUAGAUGGAAGAAAAGAAA
rnacentral:ncRNA from 1 species